AACGAACGCUGGCGGCAUGCCUAACACAUGCAAGUCGAACGAGACCUUCGGGUCUAGUGGCGCACGGGUGCGUAACGCGUGGGAACCUGCCCUUAGGUUCGGAAUAACUCCCCGAAAGGGGUGCUAAUACCGGAUAAUGUCUUCGGACCAAAGAUUUAUCGCCUUUGGAUGGGCCCGCGUUGGAUUAGCUAGUUGGUAGGGUAAAAGCCUACCAAGGCGACGAUCCAUAGCUGGUCUGAGAGGAUGAUCAGCCACACUGGGACUGAGACACGGCCCAGACUCCUCCGGGAGGCAGCAGUGGGGAAUAUUGGACAAUGGGCGAAAGCCUGAACCAGCAAGGCCGCGUGAGUGAUGAAGGCCUUAGGGUUGUAAAGCUCUUUUACCCGGGAUGAUAAUGACAGUACCGGGAGAAUAAGCUCCGGCUAACUCCGU
rnacentral:rRNA from 1 species